UACGUAGGUCCCGAGCGUUGUCCGGAUUUAUUGGGUGUAAAGCGAGCGCAGGCGGUUUAUUAAGUCUGGUGUAAAAGGCAGUGGCUCAACCAUUGUAUGCAUUGGAAACUGGUAGACUUGAGUGCAGGAGAGGAGAGUGGAAUUCCAUGUGUAGCGGUGAAAUGCGUAGAUAUAUGGAGGAACACCGGUGGCGAAAGCGGCUCUCUGGCCUGUAACUGACACUGAGGCUCGAAAGCGUGGGGAGCAAACAGG
rnacentral:rRNA from 1 species